GUGAGGAUUCGUUAUUUUUAUUUUUAUUUAAUUUUGAUGCAAGGGGAAGUUAGUUUCCGUGUAUUUAGUAGUAAACUUGCAACUGUAUUUAUUUGACAAUGGCAUUCCAGCAUCAGCCUGGAGUAGCUAUAGAGUGUUUAAGCAUUCCAAUUAAACUAGCUAAAGAAGCUAGUGUGGAUGCUGAAGGCAGACCAGUUAUGAAAUGUGGUUUUAAAAUUGGAGGUGGUAUAGACCAAGACUUUCAUAAGAGUCCCCAAGGGUAUACAGAUAAUGGGAUUUAUGUGACAGAAGUUUAUGAUGACAGCCCAGCAGAGAAAAGUGGACUAAAAAUUCAUGACAAAAUUCUACAGGUCAAUGGAUAUGACUUCACUAUGGUGACACACAAAAAAGCUGUGGAGUACAUUAAGAAACAUGCUGUUUUGAACAUGCUUGUAGCAAGGAAGGGAGUCACACAUUCAUGAAAGCAUCAGUCGUCAAGACAUUCAGUUUCUGUUGCUGUUGUGGCCUUCUGCACAUUUUGUAAAUGCACUAGCAGGCUAGUUGCAGUUUUUCUUGUCAUUAAAGCAUGAAACCUUUUUCUUUUAAAAUGAGAACAGAGAACAUAAAUAUUUAAAGUUAUUCUUGCACGGUUAAUUCCUGUACAGUUUAUUUGUACAAUUAAAAUACAUGUUAGAGUACUACUAGCAAUGGAUUCUUCUGCCUGGAUUUUGAUACUAGAGCAUUUUUAGACUUUAAAGUGUCUUUCUUCAUGUCUUGGUAUCAGAGCUAGAACUGUUUAUAAUAUGAACUGAAGUGGCAACAAUUCACAAAACCUUCCAAACAUUAUGUAUGCUGACUAGAAUUAUCUUUAAAUGAUAAUAUAAGAUAAUAAAUAUAAGUUUUCAUUUUCCUCUUCUACAAAUGUUAAUGAUAACUAUCCUUUUGUGUGCAGCAGUGUAAAUGUAUCAGAAAGCUAGAAUAUCUCUUUAAUUUAACAUUACAACUACUAUAACAUUUGUAUAUUUAUCAACUGUUUAAAUUCUGAUAAGUGUCAGGAAGGUUUCUCUUUAUUAGUUACUCAUGCCUUAUAGACAUCAAUAACUUGCAGGUGAUGUGAAAGAAUUCAGCUGUUUUUUGUUUUUUUUUUCACAGAUAGCAGUAGUAAUGCUACAUUUAUCAGCAGCUUACAAGCAAGAACUAUUUACUGCAUGAUAAAUGUCAUAGUUUAUUUCAUCUCUUGAUAAAUGAAAAGUUUGUACUUGAAUUUUGUUUAAUCUUUAUUGUGUAUCUGUAAGAAAAUUGUUUAAAUCAAGUUACAUGUUUUUAUCUGAAUAGAAAAAUAAAAUCCUGAAUUCCCUAGACAUACUUAUUUUUAGACAAGUUACAUUUGAUCUUCAAUAUGCUUUUCUGUGAUUCAAGGGGGCCAAUUUUGACCAAAUCUUGUACAUAUAUAAUUAAAAUAUAAACUACCUGGCAAAAUAUACAGAAAAGUGUGGCAAUAGUUGUCUAUUACAAACGUCUAAAUAAUUUAAAGUUUGUAUAAUAAAGUGUGAACAUUUUUCUUGCUGGACCACCUUUAUAUAUAUUUUUGUAACUUAUUUUUCUUGAUUUUACAUAAAAAUUCUAAUGCUUAAGACUAGAACUCUUGGUAUCUACUUCAACUGCUCAUGUUUCAUACAUUAUAAGUACCAGUAGUUAUUAGUUAUUUGGUUUCUGAUCCUUGCCUUCAUCUCCUUUAGGCUUGGUUAAGAGAAAGUCUGAUUUAAUUACAGAGAGUGAAUGCAAGCAUUUUACCCCUAGUAAGUUGGUAGGUCUGAUAGCUUAUAUUGCUAAAAAUCUGGUUUUGGCACUCAUAGUGGGCACAGCAUAGAUAGCCCACUGUGUAUCCUCAAGUGGCUCAAUAUUAAGUUUCAGAGCUUAUCAUAGCUUUGUACUUAAUAACAAACAAAAAAAGCAAGCAUUUUUUUUUAUGCCACCAACAUAUUUCUGUGUUUUAUCAACUUUUAUAAAUUACUAUGAGUGUAGCUUUAUACUUAAUGAUGAAUAAAUAAAGCAAUCGUUUCUUCUUAUUCUACCAACUUAUUUCUCUACUUCUCCUACUCUCAAAAAAUUAGUAUGACAAACAUCUAGCUCAUAGUUCCACAUUGGGCUCUUAAAACCUGUAAGAGUAAUAACUAGAUCUUAUCAUUAAGCACUAGAUCAAUAAAGGAGUUUGUUAUGAUAAACUGUUGGCUGUCUGUUGAGAGAGAGAAAGAUGACAAGCCUAUGGAUAACGAAAAAGAUUUGUUUGUUGAUUUGUUUCUGUUUACUAGCACAGUAUAGGUUUCUACUGAUACAUUGUUGAUUUGUUUCUGUAACUAGAACAGUGUAGGUUUCUACUGAUACAUUGUUGAUUUGUUUCUGUAACUAGCACAGUAUAGGUUUCUACUGAUACAUUGUUGAUUUGUUUCUAUAACUAGAACAGUGUAGGUUUCUACUGAUACAUUGUUGAUUUGUUUCUGGAACUAGCACAGUGUAGGUUUCUACUGAUACAUUGUUGAUUUGUUUCUAUAACUAGAACAGUGUAGGUUUCUACUGAUACAUUGUUGAUUUGUUUCUGUAACUAGCACAGUGUAGGAUUCUACUGAUACAUUGUUGAUUUGUUUCUGGAACUAGCACAGUGUAGGUUUCUACUGAUACAUUGUUGAUUUGUUUCUGUAACUAGCACAGUAUAGGUUUCUACUAAUACAUUGUUGAUUUUUUUCUAUAGCUUGAACAAUUUAGGUUUAUAUAUAUAAAUAAAUAUAUAUAUAUAUAGCACAGUUUAGGUUUCUACUGAUACAUUCUUGAUUUGUUUUUGUAAUUAGGACAAUGUAAAGUGUAGGUUUCUACUCAUAUAUUGUGGAUUUUUUCUGUAACUCGCACAGUUUAGGUUUCUAAUAAUGUAGUGUUAGCUUGUUUCUAUAACUUGAACAAUUUAGGUUUCCAUAUAUGUAGAAUGCUGAAGGUAUCCCACACACUACAAAGUUGUAAAAAUUCAGAAAACAGUCAAAAUGGGAUAGAAAAAUAUUAACAAUGGAAAAAUGUUUUUACUUGAUUUAUUUUUUAUAUACCAUUUUAACUGUUUUCUGAAUUUUUAAAAGUUAAGUUUUCUAUUGAUACAUUGUUGAUUUGUUUCUAUAAGUAGUACAGCACGUAUUAUUACUGAUGUCUUUCAAACCCAUGUUUCACGGAUAUAAAAUUUCAAAAUAAAGAACUGUCAUGAAUAUUUGAAAGUAUAGAAAGUUAUGUUCAUGGGACUAUAAUUGUAGUUGUUAAUCGUCAUAUGUAAUUUAUGUACAACAGAAACUUUGGAUUUAGUUUUCUUAUUUCCUCAUGUGGUUAACACGUUUUUUUUGUUUAUAUUCUAAAAGGCUGUGAUAAUCAAAUAUAGCAUGAUCUUUAGAAUAAUUAAAACUUUAAAAUCAAAUACAUUAUUUUCUUUAGCCAUUGUUAUUUUUUUUCUUUAAAAAAGUUUUAAAAACAAGUAAUUACCACAGAUGUUUGUUACAUUACAGCCUAAUUUGUCUUACCUUCGAUUUUAUUGUUUAUAUUUGGUGUUUGAGAAACCACUAUUGUUUUUGUUUUUGAAAUUUCUUAAGAUUUAAAAAAAUGUUCUUCUGUGUUUUUGACUUUUUGAGAAACUUCAAAAAGUUAUUCAAAACAGAAGUUGUAAUGAUGCUUGGGUAGUUAUAUAGUUUUUCAAUGUAGAAAUGAACUAUUAAAGUAAUUGUGUGUGCCAAAUAUAGGAUAUUCAUUCCAGAAUUAUGGAAGAACUUGAUUUUUAAGUACCUGCUGUUGUUACUGUAUGUGCUUUACUAGUCUGUUAGUAAACUGGUUUAUGAUUGUUUCUUACAACACUAGAUGUUCUCUCUCUCUCUUAUAAGUUUGGAAAUUUAAAAGAUUGUCUAUGCUCUAGUACCUAGGAAAAUUUGCAUUUAUGUUUUUCUCUAUUGUUUAGUAAAAGAGCAUAGUUUUAUUUACAUGAAAUCAUGGAAAGUGGUUGGAAUCUGUGGUUUUUGUGUAAUAUAACAAUAUAUUGAGUAUAGAUAUAUGUCAAAAUUCUGUGUUGUAUAUAAAUAUAUAUCAAACUACCAAAUUUUUCAAAACAGAAAUGUUUAAUUGUUUUAAAUUGGGUGAUAUGUAGCAUGAGGGAUAUGAUAUCUUGAACUAAAUUCAAUCAUUGUGUGUGUGAGAUAACACUACUUGUUAAUUUCUGAAGGAUUAAAUUACCAAGUAUUGUAAAUUGAAACUGAACAAGAUGAAGAUCUCAUCAGUGUGAAUUGAUUUUCAUAGCUACAUAUUAUUUCUAUUUUCAAUUCUGUGUUAAUAGAUCAAGUCAGCACCAUUAAAAAUACAACACUACCACAAUUACAAAAUUGUAUUUUAACAACUGUUUAUACAAUAUGUUAUUUCAUAUAAUAAUUUGCAGCUAACCUGCCUUUUUCUUGUUUUUUAAAUAUAUAACUGGAACUGGCUUUCUUCUGGCAUGUUCUGACUCAUCAUCUUUGUAGGCCUUUUAAAACUUAAGUUUAAAAA
rnacentral:misc_RNA from 1 species